rnacentral:rRNA from 1 species
UACGUAGGGUGCGAGCGUUAAUCGGAAUUACUGGGCGUAAAGCGUGCGCAGGCGGUUUUGUAAGCCAGAUGUGAAAUCCCCGGGCUUAACCUGGGAAUGGCAUUUGGGACUGCAAGGCUGGAGUUUGGCAGAGGAGACUGGAAUUCCUGGUGUAGCAGUGAAAUGCGUAGAUAUCAGGAGGAAUACCGAUGGCGAAGGCAGGUCUCUGGGCUAUAACGGACGCUCAUGCACGAAAGCGUGGGGAGCAAACAGG